rnacentral:rRNA from 1 species
GCAGCAGCCGCGGUAAUACAGAGGGUGCGAGCGUUAAUCGGAUUUACUGGGCGUAAAGCGUGCGUAGGCGGCUUCUUAAGUCGGAUGUGAAAUCCCUGAGCUUAACUUAGGAAUUGCAUUCGAUACUGGGAAGCUAGAGUAUGGGAGAGGAUGGUAGAAUUCCAGGUGUAGCGGUGAAAUGCGUAGAGAUCUGGAGGAAUACCGAUGGCGAAGGCAGCCAUCUGGCCUAAUACUGACGCUGAGGUACGAAAGCAUGGGGAGCAAACAGGAUUAGAGACCCCCGUAGUCCCUGUCUCUUAUAC